rnacentral:sRNA from 1 species
CCCCAUUGUCGCUAGUGUGAGACUCCUAAUAAAUAGAAUUAUCCAUGAAUAUGUGGAAUCAUACGGCCCGACGGUAAGACCCUGAGCACCUUAACUUCCCUAAAAGUUCUUAUGUGUUGGCAUGGUUACGAGAUUUAAGGAUGAAACCUUCCUGAUCGACUCGUGAGGUAAAAGAAACAGUCGGUGCGAAGUCGUAACAUGGUAGUUGACAGUGAACUUGUAGCUGAACCAAAA